rnacentral:rRNA from 1 species
GACAGAGGGUGCAAACGUUGUUCGGAAUUACUGGGCGUAAAGCGCGUGUAGGUGGCGAGGCAAGUCGGGUGUGAAAGCCCUGGGCUCAACCCAGGAAGUGCACUCGAUACUGCCUAGCUAGAGUCCCGGAGAGGUUGGUGGAACUCUCGGUGUAGAGGUGAAAUUCGUAGAUAUCGAGAAGAACACCGGUGGCGAAGGCGGCCAACUGGACGGUGACUGACACUGAGACGCGAAAGCGUGGGGAGCAAACAG